rnacentral:tRNA from 1 species
GCCUGGGUAGCUCAGACGGUAGAGCAUCAGACUCUUAAUCUGAGGGUCCAGGGUUCAAGUCCCUGUUCAGGUGGUUCCA